rnacentral:rRNA from 1 species
UGGGGAAUAUUGCACAAUGGGCGAAAGCCUGAUGCAGCAACGCCGCGUGAGUGAUGAAGGCCUUCGGGUUGUAAAGCUCUGUCUUUUGGGACGAUAAUGACGGUACCAAAGGAGGAAGCCACGGCUAACUACGUGCCAGCAGCCGCGGUAAUACGUAGGUGGCAAGCGUUGUCCGGAUUUACUGGGCGUAAAGGAUGCGUAGGCGGAUUUUUAAGUGAGAUGUGAAAACCCUAAGCUUAACUUGGGGACUGCAUUUCAUACUGGAAAUCUAGAGUGCGGGAGAGGAGAAUGGAAUUCCUAGUGUAGCGGUGAAAUGCGUAGAGAUUAGGAAGAACACCAGUGGCGAAGGCGAUUCUCUGGACCGUAACUGACGCUGAGGCAUGAAAAGCGUGGGUAGCAAAACAGGAUUAGAUACCCUGGUAGUCCACGCCGUAAAACGAUGAGUACUAGGUGUAGGAGGUAUCGACCCCUUCUGUGCCGCAGUUAACACAAUAAGUACUCCGCCUGGGAAGUACGAUCGCAAGAUUAAAAACUCAAAUGAAUUGAC